rnacentral:lncRNA from 1 species
ACCUGUCACAUACAUACAAACACAACUGAGAUUAAUAUGAUCAAAUUGAUCAAUAUCGAAUACUAUUUCCUUCGUACUUACAAUUUUGAGGUGGUUCAAUUCACCAUAGUCGGGCUUAUUAUUGCCAAACACUUGCAAAACCUCUUGCCUUGCACGUUCUUGCCAAUCUUGAUGCUUGCUCAAUAAGACCAUUGUCCAAUUAAGCAAAACAGAGGUAGUCUCUUGGCCGGCAAGGUAAAAUAGCUUACACUCUUCGAUCACAUCGUUCAUGCUGAACCCAACAUUUUUGUUAUUUCCAUGUUCUUCAAUCUCUCUAAAACUGGUUUCCAUCAGUAUGCCUAACAAGUCAUCAUUCGCAGCUUCCCCUGCUCUCAUUGCCUUCUCCCUAUUUUUGAUGAUUCCCAUCAAUGAAGCCCGGAUUUCCUUGUCAAUUUCUUUCAUUCUCCUAUUUCUCUUUGUAGGUAAAAACCUAUAUAUAAGCAAUGAAACAACUUUAAAGACAAGAACUAAACAAACUAAUCAAACCCUUAAUUUUUUUUUUUUACCCUCUUUUUACCAAUCAGAAAUCUGCUGGAGCCUCUUAGAAUAACUCUAUGAUUAGCUCAAUCAAGAUAUCUGAGCCGAAAUCAGCUAGGUCUACUUCUAAUAUUUUGCGCGAAAGAAAAUAACUCCCACAAAGCUAAUCAAAGCCUACUCAUAAAUAAUCCUAUAUGACAUGUAUAUAUGAAUGUUUCCAGUGAAGAGAAAUGUGAAUAUACCUCCAUCCUGGAAUGUGAACUGAACGAAAGACUUGCAUUGUGAGUUCAGCUAGCUCUGCCUGGAGCUGAAAAAUCCUUCUUCCUUCUUCAUAACUACUCCCAAAAGCCGUUCGAGAAAUCACAUCACUUGUUAAAUUUGCAAGAUAAGGCCAUACAUCCAACUCAGAUGAUCCUUCUACAGACAUUUGCUUCUCCCACUUUGUAAUUAUUUCGGUACAACUCAAGUAGAAUGCUGGCAACAUAAGCUGUAACAAAAGCAAGAAAUCUAAAUGAGGGCAAAAUCGAAUCUUCCAAAGAUAUGUAAACAAAUGGAGAAGUUAAUUAAUAAACCUUGAGCUUCUCUUGGUGGAAGGCUGGGUUGAUGAGUUUUCUAUGUUUAGCCCACUUCUCCCCCUCAAGGCUAGCCAAUCCAACUAUCAGCAGCCUGGCAAGUGGGAUUGAAUUGACUUUUUGAAAAUCAUUGAUCUUGGUAAAUAUCGCUUUUAUUUGAUCAGGAUUCAUAAUAUUCACCCUUGGUGUCGGACCAAACCACAUGAAAGAAUUCUUACCUGCAGAAAUUUUUUACCAAUAUACGCACAUGUUACUUGUUAGAGGCAGAUGGUACAUUGAAAAUGGUAGUAUACCUAAGCUGUGAAAAAUUAGUGAUUUUAUUCACAAAUCAGUCAAAGAAUAACCAUUCAUACUAAUUGAUUUUACCUCAAGCAGAAAAGAUCUAACAAGCAACUUUGCCCAUUAUAAGGUAAACAAUUAGAAACAUGGCACGAUUUAUAAGAUAAUGUAAAAGCCUAACGGCGUUGAAACAGUGAAUUAAUCAGACAACACUCAGCAAAAGGAACAACGCUGCCCUCUGGGAAUUUUACAUGUGGCAUAGCCCAUCCACAGGUUGAAUUACACCCACGCACCUAUCUCAUCAAUACAUUAGUGGUUCUAGCCACUCAGUCAAGGCUGAGUGGUAAAGUAUCACCACUUAAUUAAAAAAAAAAAAAAAAGGAAAAAAAAGAGAGAGAAGUUUAGCCGCAACGUCGAUUUUUUUCUCUGAUCAAAGAAGCGUAAAAUUAUGUUUUAACCCACCAAAAUUUUCAAGAAUUAUCUUUACGUGAACCAUCUCUACUGAAUCAGAAGUCUAAUCAAAUUUCUUUCGUCGGAGAGGAUUAAUUCUUUAAGCAGUGGCACAGUCCAGAUAUUUGAGUCAUUUGAGACCAGAACAGAACGUAUCUACUUUUGAACGAGUAAAAUUAAAAGAGUACACGCCGGGAUUGACAUACAUACCAUAAUCAUUUACCAGUUUAUGAAGGAAUGGAUUGACACGAAUAGCAAUAUUGUCAUCCAAACUGAGGGGUCUGGCUUUGGCUUCCUUCAGCUCGAUGGAAUUUUCUUUCAAGUCACCAAACAGAAGCCUGUAAGAAUUGCCUUUUAAACCUUGCUGUCUCAGGAAUUUCUCCAGCUUCUUGGGCCUCAGCCACACCCAGUUCAGCACUCUCCAUGCCCAUGUUAGCACCGUUAGAAUAACAAUGGUAACAGCUAUGGAUUUCAGAGGCAACUCCAUUUCACACUGACAGAUUUUGCGGGUUUAAAUUUGCAGAGACGAACGAGAAUGAUAUAUAUAGUCAUCAAGCGAAUGAGAAAAUCGUUUUCCUUUGCAUGUGUUUUUGAUUAGGUGUUUUCUGGAUCGAUACGUGUCAAGCUUGCAUGUGACUGUGAACUGUGGACCCUGUUCUAGAACUAGACUGUUUGGGAUCGAUUAAUUUUAAAAAAUAAACUAAAAUUCAUAUGGUAAGAAUUUUUAAGUAUAAAUGUUUGUAAAAUAAAAUCUAAACCUACAUUUGAAUGGCAAGCAUCUAGAAACAAGAUCUGUAUUCUGUCAUAUGACGCCAGGAAAUAUACUGCCUUUUCGUAAAUGCAUAAUCAAGCAGCAUGAUGUGCUCUGCUUUCACACGAAUGUAGGUCCACUUUGUCUUGGCUUUUACGGAAUUUCAAUUCUAUUGUUAUGGGGAUUAAUGGCUCUGCUUAAUUUUGGGGUCUGCUUUCAGAGAAAUACAAAACGAUUAGAACUCUGCUUUGUGAUACAGACAAGACGCAAUGGAUCUAUCAUCUUCAUCUCUACUCCUAUUUCAUUUAUCUUUAUCAUGAAUAUAAUCCACGAUUCUCAAACAUGAUAAACAAGGUCACAAACUAUGGUGUACCAAUCGGCUGUUUUUUUUUUAACUUAAUUAAUUUAAUUUAAAUCAUUGAGUCCAUUUAUUUUUUCAACUUAAUGAAAAUUUUCAAUCACUAAAUCAUUCAGUUACCAAGCUAAUUUUUAAAUUUUUUGUUUAAUCUAAAAAGUCUAAAUAAUAACAUUAAAAGAUUUUCUCUAAAAUAUCUCUAUCUAAUUAAUUAAUUUUUACCCUUACCUAAAUAAAUUUUAAUAAUUGAUGUUAUUACCUACCUCUAUAACUUGUGAUAAUAUAGUGCACUAGUAGACUACUAUUAUUUUUUAUUUUUUAUUUUCUUCAAAUUAAAAUUAUUUAUCUUCAUAAUUUUUCAUAAUUAUUUUUCAUAUAAAAACAUCAUAAACUAUAGUAAAAUUGAUUAAUAUAUACUAAUUUAAAAUAUUAAAAAGAGUAUAGACAUUAUGAGACAGUAUCAUUAAGCAGCUACUGGAAUAAGAUGUUAUGAGCCUAAAUUUUAUAAGGUCAAAGUUGAAUUUGGCCGAUCCUUUAACAAAAAAAACUAAACAAGAGUUUAGUAGAGAUCACAUCAAGGGAGAUGGGACUAGUGGCUAGAUCAUAAGACAAGAGUGAUGGUAACCCUACCUAUGUGAUUGGAGAUCCAUGAAAAAUGUUCAAUAAGUUACUUGUUGUUUUGGAAUGCUCUCAAUAUUAUGUAAUCUUAUUUUUAUUCAAUAAAGAUUUUCUUUAUUUAUAAGUCCUCCUUAUAAUAAGAUAAUGUUUAUCGCAGUGAGUUAGGUUAAGCAAUUGAGCUUUUCAUGAACUCCAUAACUCAAUUUUUAUGUAUGAUGGUGUGUUAAAACUGCAUGACAUACUUGAUGGAGGUUCACCUAUGUUAGUGUGGAAUUGGAUAAGUUCCUAUGAGAGUUAAACAUGCUUCUCUAGAGCGCUCAUGAAUACAAGGGCACAGGGCUACUAAAGUGCCAAACCGCAGAACAACAAAAUAUUGAGAGAGUUUAAUGUGAGCUUCUAGUCAUCUGCCUUACAAAAAAAAGAAUAUUGGUUUAUAGAAAUUAUCAGUUUCACCAAGUUCCUAUGACACAUGGUUAGUUAUUCAAUGGCCAGUUCAUAGCCCCAAAGGCACCAGUUCAUAUGCAUUAAACUCUAUGGACAAUGAUGAAGUCGAAAGAAAUUGAGUAUUUUGAAAUAUGUGGAGGAUUGUUAAAGAUUGAGUUGGUAUUUUAAAAUACCAAUAUUCCACAUUACUUAAACAAAAGAGUACAAGUUGGUUUUUAUAUAGAAAACAAAUAUAGUGUAGUAACAAGCCUAUGAAGAGGAGGCUCAUAUGCAUGAAACCAAGCGCGAGAGAGGAGUUCAUUCCAUGACUCUAUUAAUUGGUUGCUCGUACCCAAUAACUCACUCGCAAUGGGGACCCUCCUUCCCCCCAUGGGGUGUCAUGUAUGAGUGUGGGCUUGGCCAUCUAUUAUGUUUUGUCCUUUGUUUUAAUUUUAUUUAUUUUAAUUCGAAUUAGAUUGAGAAUUCAAUUCCUAAUGGAAUUAGGAUUUAAUAAACAUAAUUAUAAUUCAGAUUUAGAGAGGAAAAGGGGGUUAGGGCUUGUAUCUAUUUAAAGAGCCGAAUAUAUCACACUAUGGUCAUCCAAAAACUUACUCUCUUGCUCUCUGUUCUUUGUUGCUCUUUGUUUUCCUUUCUUUCGUCAUUGUACGUUUUGCUAUUCUGAACUAUCAAGUUGAAGUGCAACAUCACAAUCGUAAUAGUAAUUGUAUCAUGGAGAUCAAACUACUUUUGUUAGCCCUUCUUGCACCGAAAUACUGCAUCUUGAGAUCAAGCUUAUUCCAACAUUUUUGUUGUUUCCAUGUUCUUCAAUUUCUCUAAACUUGGUCUCCAUCAGUAUGCCAAGUCAUCAUUUCCAGCUUCCUCUGCUUUCAUUGCCUUCUCUCUGUUUUUAAUUAUUCCCAUCAGUGAAGCUCGUAUUUGCUUGUCAAUUUCCUUCAUUCUCUUAUUUCUUUCUGAAGGUACCAGCCAGCCUAUAAGAAAUAGGAACAAUAGAAAAUACAAGAACGUAUUGAAUGCACUAAUCAAAUCCUACUUAUCGAUUUCAACAAUAUGAUUAACAUCUUAGAUUAACCAUAUGACGACAUGGAUCGAAGUUAUAAGCCCAGGAUGGGUCAAACCUACUUCCAUAUUUUUGGAAGAAAAUCAACUCCUACAUUGCUAAUUACUCCCAGAAGCCGUCCUCAGAAUCACAUCACUAGUUAAUUUUGCAAGAGAAGGCCGUGCACCCAACUCACACGAUCCUCCUUUUGACGUCAGGUUUUCCCACUUUGUAAUUAUUUCACUACAACUUUGCUAGAACGCAGGCAACAUAAGUUGAAACGAAACAGAAAGAAAUUAAAAUGAAGACAUUUAUGUAAACAAAUGAAGAAAUCAAUUAAUAACCUAGAGCUUCUCUUGGUGGAACUGGUUGAUAAGAUUUCUAUAGUAACCCACUUGUCACCUCAUGGCUAACCAAUGCAAGUGCCAAUAAUCUGGCAAGUGGAUCUGAAUUGAUUUUUUGAAAAUCAUUGAUCUUGGUAGAUAUCUCUUUGAUUUGAUCGGGCUUCACAAUAUUCAACCUUCGCGUCGGACCGAACCACAUAAAUGAAUUAUUGCCUGCAUCAAUUUUUAAGCUCUGGUUAUUUUGCUCGUGGCAUAACUUACCACAGCUUGAGUUACACCCAUUGGCCCAUGAUAUCAAGAAAAUUAUUGGUCUCGCAAACAACAUAGCUCAAAUGUUUCAACACCAUACAUAUUUUCUUCAUUAAUUAAAAAAAAUUACGUUUUAACCCAUAAAAAUAUUCAAGAAUUAUCUUGAUGUGUAUGAUCUCUACUAACUACAUUUAUAACGAGAAGUCUAUUUGGAUUUCUUCCACUUAUAUCAGCUCUACAAUUGUGCAAACUGAAUUAGUUUUAUUAAUAAUGGCACAAUCCAGUCGAGAUAUUAUCGUCUAAACUUUCUUUCAAGUCACCAAACAGAAGCCUGCAAGAAUUGCCUUUGAAACCUUUGCUGUCUCAGGAAUUUCUCCAGCUUCUUGGGACCCUCAGCCACACCCAGUUCAGCACUCUCCAUGCCCAGUUCCCACUGUUACGAUAACAAUGGUCAGGUCUAUGGAUUUCAGCGGCAAUUCCAUUUCACACAGAGAGAUUUUUGAAGUGUUCAAAGAAAUGAGACUUGCCUACGUGGUAGAUUAGUUGAAAGUGAAUUAAAAACAUUUUUUCGUUUGCAUAUGUUCAAUGGCUUUUCUUAGUUUCGAAUUUUCCUGUACCAUUAUAUUGUCUCCAGCUAAUGGUACACGUGUCAAUAUCAAUCAUGCAUGUGGUGAUCUUUGUGGACUUGUCACUCAUUGACUGUCUUCUAUAGAACUAGAGAAUGUAAGUUCGGUUAAUUAUUUGAAAAAAAAAAAUUGUUUACCCCUAAUACAUUAAUUAUUCUCAAAAUAUCCUCAAACUAUAAUAAACAUUAAUCAAUCCACAAUUACUAUUAAGAAGGUAAAAAAAGAAAAAAGAAAUCAUCAAUCGUUCCCAUUUGAUCUUAUUUUUUGAAUGAUCAUUAGGGUAAAUUAAGGUUUACAAGAAUUUAGAGAUAACUGAAAUUAACAAAAAAUAAAUAAAAUAAAACUCAUCUAAAUAAAUUAUGCAUGGUGGGCCUAUUUGCCCUUUAAAACAUACUCAAAAUAUACUAUUAUUUAUGUAUACUCAUUUACUUAUUUUAUAAAAAGGGUGGGGCUAUUUGCACUCUUAACAUUACUAGAAUAUUCUUAUUUUAAUAAAUUGUUUUAUUACAAAAAUACUUAUUAUAUGAAUUUCCAAUAUGGAAUCUCUCUUAUAAACUAACAUAAUAAAAUUACUCCAAACACUCACUAUUCAAUAUAUGAUUAUCUUACCAUAAACCCGAAAAAUUUUAAAUCCAAUAUCUUAAACAAUAUUUAGUUAAACAAAGAGCAAAUCAAUACUUUUAAUAUAUUUUGAGCAUAUUUUUACUCUUUGAUUUUCAGAAGACAAAAAAAAAAUUGCUGUCUUCUUCCUCUUCCUCAUCCUUCUUUUAGUCUUCUUUUUCUUCGGCUAUUUCUUCUUCCUCUUUUUUUCCUUUUUUUUCUUUCUUUUUUUUUUUUUUUUGGCUAGAUAGCAAAAAAAUUUUCAAUUGUUUGGUUAAUAAAUUGGGUGCAAAAACUAAUAUUGAAUACAUUCUUUAAUAGACAAAAGCUAAUAAAGAAUAUGUUUAGAAUAUAAUUUGAUUCCUUUGUGUAUAUACUAAGUUGUUAUUAAUUCAUUUUGGAUGCUCAAUAGUUUAAUUGGUGUUUUGAGUAAAUUAGUUUAACUAGUUUAAUUAAGGUCCUUUUUUUUUUAUUUUAAAGAGUGUAGAAAGUAAAAUUUAAUUAUUUUAAAUUCAACACAUUAUUGUACAAAGUAAUAAAGUGUUCAAAGUAAUUUUUGGAGUAUAAAUAACCUAAUCUUUUGAAAAAUGGUGGGACUAUUUGAAUCCACCAUAAUACUCAUUUGACCCAUGUUUUAGAAAACAUUUUUACUACUAAAUUGUCUCUAAUGUAAAUCACUAUUAAAGACAUAAUAGUAUGUAUAUACUUCAUGCUCUCAUCUUUUAAUCAUGUCUAAAUUUGUUCAAUGUGGACAUAAGAGAAAAUUUGUUUCAUACUUUUAAAUUUUUUUAAAAAUUUUCUUCAACUCCUUUGGUCGAAAACAAAUCCAAUCGAGUUGUUGGAUACUUGGAUUUGGUCAAAACUAUCUCACCAGUAAAGCUCAUUGGAAUCCAAUAAACCAAUAAGUUCUAGUCAAGCUAUUCUAGAUUCAAGCAAUAAAAUUUAGGAAAAUUAUCAGUCGUAUACUCUUAAAUGACAUCCGUAUCAAACGUGUGUGAACACUUUUGAAAUGUAUCACUCGUUUACCCUAAGUUGACAAAACACUUCUGCCGUCCGCCAAUCCGUUAACUUCCGUUUGCAAGCGCGAACAUCAUAAGGGCAAUUUAGUCUUUUAAGAUUGACGAAACUUUGAUUUAAAAAAAGGACAUGUCAUCCCAUUUACCUAGUACAAAAUGACAUGUCAUAUGAUAUAUAUUGAUAAAAAUAACAUGUCAUCCCAUUUAUCGGAUAAUUGUAAAUAAUUGCUAAAAAAAACUACUUUACAACCGAAUAUACGCCUUUAAAAUUUAACCUAAUUUUGAAGAUCUACUCCUCCAAGCUCCAACUGGAAAGUUUUAUGGUAUAAUAUGUAUAAUUGUGAAUAAUAUGUUGUUAAUAAUUUUUUAUGGUAUAAUAUGGAUUUUUUUUAUGAAUAAUUGUUAAUAAUAUGUACCAUUAAUAAUUCAUUUUUUUUAAUCAAAAAAAUGUAUUGUUAAUAACAAAAUAAAAAAAAUUGUGUAUUAAAAAUUUACGUUAAUUUUUGGGGUAAAUUUAUCUUUUUACCUUAUAUUUUGAGUUUCAAGGGCAAAAUAGCCAAUUUGUCACAAUUCUGUUAACUUUCUAAUGGAAGUUAACGGAUUGGUGGAUGGCAGAAGUGUUUUGUCAACUUAGGAUAUACGAGUAAUACACUUGAAAAGUGUUCUCAACUUAGGGUAUACGAGUAAUACACUUGAAAAGUGUUCUCAACUUAGGGUAUACGAGUAAUACACUUGAAAAGUGUUCACACACGUUUGAUACGGGUGUCAUUUAAGGGUAUAUGGCUGAUAAUUUCCCUAAAAUUUAUUUCAUUAAAUUUGCACUAUAUAAGAAAGGGAAGAGUUAUGCCAUUGACAAAUAUUGAGCGCUUGAAUUAGUUGUGUAAUCAAUUGAUUAUUCAUUACAACUAUCAUCUUAUUGUCAUUUAAUUUUUUCAUGAUAUUAUAUAUAUUUUAUAGCAGUUUAAUGACAAGCACGGACAAAAAAUAAAUUCCACUUGAGAAGUUGAAGGAUACGACCUUUGGUUAUGAAUGCGUCAAGGGUUGGAGAGCUGGAAGAAGAAGAAGAGAAGAAAAAUGUUGCAGAAAAUCAUGAAUUAAUUUCAAGCAUAUGUUGGUUAUUAACAUGAGUUUAUAAAGUAUAAUAUAAAAUUUUUAACAAUAGAAUUAAUAAGUAGAUGAGUUUACAAAGUAAUUUGGUGGGUUCAAAUAUACUCACUCUUUAAAAUAAUUAGUUUUUACUCUGCACACUCUUUUUUUUUUUUUAUGAGAAAGUAAAGCUUUCAAUUGAUUAAGAAGAAGAGAACAACAUCAACACCUGGACAGGGAAAUCACCUAUCCAGGUGACAGCUUCCUCAAACUCAAGAGCUACAUUAGCUAAGUUAUGGGCAAUUACAUUACACUUUCUUGGGACAAAACGAAUAGCUGCCGAGGCUUGGUUUUUCAACUCUGCUUGUAUUUCUUCAAUGUUCCAACAAAUUUUAGCUCAACUUUCCUUCUUGUUUAAAGUGAGCUCCACAACUUCCUUCAAGUCUGAUUCAACAAUGAAUUGGGCACAAUUUGUUUUCUGACCUACUUGAAUACCGAGCAGCACUGCUUCUGCCUCCAUGUUUGCCACAUUUCCUUUUAAAGCUACUCUCUUAACAGCUGCAGCCACGAUCUCAUAAAAUACUAAAAAAGCUACUCUCUUAAUUCUGCACACUCUUUAAAAUACUAAAAAAGUCCUCAAUAAAACCUUUAAGUAAAUCAAUUAAGAAUUUCAAGUUAAAAUAAAUCUAUACAUGUAAUCACAAUUUAUUAAAAAUGGUAGUAAAACUUUUAUAUUUGAAGUCAAGUACUUAAUUACCAAACUUAAAUAAAUUAAACAAUUAAAAUUUAUUCAUCUUUUUAAAUUUUAAACUAUUAUUAGUCAAAAGUUUCAAAAAUAAAUUAAACUCAACUUAACAUAAAGCUAUUUGGGUGUCAUUGUUUCUUUGUCAUACACUCUACCUUUUUUUUUAAGAACCUACUGUUGAUAGUUUUUCUAUCAAAAACUCCUCAAAAUAUUUAAAUUUUAUCUUCUAACUUGUCCUCUUGGUUAAUGUAACUAAUAACUAAAAUCUCAAAAUUCACAUAAAAGUUUAUGAAAUGUUGAUAGAUAGUUGUUACUAUAUAUCUUUUUUUGUAAGUAUUGGCAUUUUUUCAAUUAAAUUAUUUUUAUAAAUAAAUUAAAACAGUAAUAAUAUUUUAGUCCCCAAAUCUUUUCAAUCUAUUCAAUAAAUAUAUAAUUUAAUUAUUUCAUGAAAUAAGUCACUAAUUCCAACUGGGAAGAAAAUAUAAUUGAAUUAGGAACAUGUUUGAAAAUAAAAUAAAAACUCUAUUAUUUUAUAAAACUGAUUUAAAAAAAACAUAAGGGUAGUUAAAUUAGGGACAUAUAUAAAAAAAAUAAAACUAUAUUAUUAUCUAAAAUUAAUAAAAAAAAUAAGGGGUAUAAAUAACUUUCCUGGACUAAUCCGGGCUACACCCCCGCUUAGGUCCGCUUGCGCACUCAUUACUCCAAAUACAACGUUUAAAAUUUAAAAUCAAAUUUUUACUAUGUAAAAGGGAUAUUAUCAUUUUUCCACCAAAGGUAUUCUGACACAUCAUGUCAGUACCAUGGUUUGAUAAAACUAUCAUUUUACCACCAAACGUUUAAACUGUUAGCAUUUUCCCACCAUUUCGUUAAAACUCAGUUAAUAUUUAACGAAAAAUUAUUAAAAGGUCAAUUUUACCCCUAGAGCGUAAAAGACGAUUUUGCCCUUUAAGAAUGAACAACAAUAAGUGAUGAUUAAAUUACAAAAAUAACCCCAAAAGUAGCUGUUACAUUCAAAUAACGGCUACUUUUAUGCUUAUAAGAGCUGCUGCUGGUUGCCAUUUCAACCCGCAACCAGCAACCCCAAAUCAAAGGCCAGCAAGUAGGGGUGGGCAAAAUCGGGUUCGGAUCAACCCGAUCAGAUUUCGGGUUGAUCGGGUUGGAGAGAAACUCAUCCGAACUCAACCCGAAUUUUAGAUCAGAUCGGAUCGGAUCGGGUUAUAUUCGGGUCGGAUCUAAAAUUCGGAUCAAUUUCGGGUCAAUUCGGGUUAAGGACAAAAAAAGUCAUUUGUGUUAAUUUUGGGUUGUUUAAUAAUUAUUUAAUAAUUACAAGAUCACUUUUAUGCAAUUAGUUCAUUUUAGUCCAUUUCCACUUUCCAAUGACUGUCAUAAAAAAAAUAUAAACUGAAAUAGAAUUGAAAAAGUUGUGAGCUUGGAGGACUUGGUGUCAUGAAUCUCAGUCUCGGUCUCGUUGGAAGAACAACCAUGGAUCACUUCGCGCGGGUCAAGCAGCAGCCGAUGGAUCAAGCGGCAACGGGUUUCGUCGAUGGCUCAUGGCUUCACAGGUUUUGUCGGUGGCUACCGGAAAAGCAGAUCCAAUCGAAGUGAAGUGCAGCAACCGUCGAUGCAGCAGCAAGCAGAUCCUGUCGUCAGUGCAGCAGAUCUGGUCGAGUGGUGUGCUGCAUAUGGCCGUUGCUGUGCUAACCGUCUGUAGUUUUGUUGUUGCGAGAAAGAAGAGAAAGAAGACAGUGAAGAGAAAAAAGAGAGUUGUUUGUGUGAGUUGUGAGAAAGAAGAGAAAGAAGAUAGUGAAGAGAAAGAACACGGAGAGUGAGAAAGAAGAGAAAGAAGAGAGUGAAGAGAAAGAACACAGAGAGUGUUGGUGUGAGUCUGUGAGCCAUAGUGUUCGUAUAUGUUCUGUUUAGCCAUUUAGGUUGUUUGUGUGUGGCGUGUGUGUUUAGAUUUAGGUUUUUUUUUUUAAAGCAACCCGAUCGGGUUUUCGGAUCGGAUCGGAUUUGACCUGAUCCGAUCACAACCCGAUCGGAUUUCCUUUAUAACCCGAUCCGAUCCGAUCCGAACCCGAAAUUUUUCGGGUCGGGUCGGGUAUUUUGCCCACCCCUACCAGCAACCCCAUUUGAGCACCAACAACCCAGCUGAAAAAGAAAGAAAAUGGCAACCCAGCACAACUACAAGCCACAGUAAACAUUUCAAUACCACUGCACCAGCAAGCCCAAGCCAUUUUUAAACACCAGUAAGCUCAUUUUAUUACUAGCAAUCAUGCCAGGUUUGUACAUGCAGGUUUAAAAAGUGUAAUUUUUGGCAAUGGGCAGCAAAAAAAGAUAUGGAAAUGCGUAACAUUACAUCCAAUCAUGGCAUGAACCUAAAUGAAGAUGUGAUGAAGAUAAGUGAACUACUACGAUGCAUUGAAGCGAAACUGAAAUUGGUCGUAGUUUUUAUUUGUGGCAUUGUGAUAGGCUUAUUUAUGAGGAAGUAAUGUAAUAAACAUGAAAAAAUAUUGUAGCAAUCAAUCAUUGUAGCUGAAGAUGUAAUGAAGCAUUAUAGUUUAAGAUGUAAUGCAACUGGAAAGUAAUCAAAACAGUUUGUGGAUUCCAAAAACAUAACAGCAACUUAAUGCACUAAUAUAAAGUUUGUGCAUCCAAAAUACAUAACAACAACUUAAUGCAUUAAUAUAAAGUUUGUGCAUCUAAAAUACAUAACAGUAACUUAAUGCACUAAUAUAAAGUUUUGUGCAUCUAAAAUACAUAACAGCACCUUAAUGGUUAUUUCAUACAGCAUCUAAUAUCUGUGAAGCUUGUGAGCCUUGAGUUGGAUUCGGGGAAACAUUAUCAGCUUCAUAUUGGCCAGGACAAAAAAAUUAUUACCUCAUUAUCUAAGACCAACAGUAGCUAUUUGCAGACAUCAAACAUUAAUUUGAAACAAUAACUUACCAUUGUUACGUCUUCUUACUCCAUCGCCUCUUGCUCUUGCUCUGUUACUCCUUUGGCCCCUUCGGCCUCUAUUCCUUCCUCUUCCUCUAUUACCAGUACCUCAUCUUCCUCUAUGAGCAAUAAAGCUCUCUUGUGAACCACCUACAGCCUAUUUAAAUUGAAAUAUAUAAAUAAUCAAAUCAUCAAUAUUUAUAACAAACUAAAAAUUACUCAAUGAAUAACAAUAAACAAAUUACCACUUUCUUUGUCCUCUUUGAAGUACUUGCUGCAUUAGAACUUUCUCCCGGCCCACUAACUCCCUAUUUAAAAUUACAUAGAUAACAAACAAUAAAAAAUUAAUUUCAAUACACAUAAAAACAAUUAAAACAUUAGGUUAAGUGGCUGUUACCUGCUGAGCUCUUAAUUAUCUUGCUAUCGAUGGCCUUAAUGCACAUUUCCUGACAUUGUGGUUCAUCCCACCACAAAAUGAGCAGCAGAUAUAAAAUGAUUUUUUUUUUUUUAUUGGCUCAGUGGCUGCCCUUUUCCUUGACAUUUUUGGUCUACCAAUCUUCUUGGUAAUCUCAGGUGGAAAGAGCUUGGGCCUAUCACAAGGGUCCCAUGUAACUUUGUUAGGAAUUGGCUUGAACAUCACUGCAUAUGUGUUCAAGUACGCCUCUUUGCCGAAGUAUUUUGGUAGAUACUCUGUUGCUGUGUGUCUAGCAUGACUAAUUGCAGCCAUAACAUGAGUACAGGGGAUUCCAGCUAGGUCCCAAUAACCACAAUCACAAGACCUGCUCAUGAGAUCGACAAUGAACCUCCUUGUUGGAUAAUAACCCUUGUGUUUAACCUAACAAAAAUUACAUAAUGAUUAAAUAAUAAUUAUAAGGUUGAGGAAAAAAAAUUGAUUAACCUAACAAACAUUCAGGUUCAGGAAAAAAUUAAUUAUAAGGAACAUGAGUUAGAAUUAUACUUGAAAGUGAAGAUCCCCAGAAGCCAUUACAUUCAUCUUGCUUCCACAUUCAUAUGCAACAUCCAAUUCUUUUUUCACUCUAGGUGGAAUGUUGGUCUAAGAUUGUGCUUCUUUUUUCCUUUUUGUGAAGAGUGUCAUGAACAUGCAUCUAAUUUCUUCAAGCAUGUUCAAGCAAGGCUUCUCUCUGUGGGGUAAUAUCCAACUAUUAAAACACUCUGAAGUGUUGUUAGUUGUACGAUCUACCUUGCAAUUCUUGUCAUACUCAUGUCUUGACCAAGUAAACCCAGCAAGCUCAGUCUCCAGCCACUGCCAUGCCUCUAACUUCUCUUUUUUGAGGUUUUCCAUUGCAAUAGCGUAAUCAUACUUGUUAGUGCUACUGACAGCCCUCCAAAACAGAUUUCUCAAACUAACACCAGGAUGUUCUUUGUAGAAGUUAGUAUAUAUAUGCCUAGCACAUGGUCUAUGAUAUGCAGUAGGCCAAGUUAUCUCAAUGGCCCCCAACAAACCCUUUUGCCUAUCUUAGCAAAAUGUAAUAUGCUCUAAGCCAUUAUCAAAAUACGAAUGCAGAAUUUCUAAAAACCACGACCAGGUUUCAGUAUUCUCUAUCUCACACACUGCUAAUGCUAAUGGGACCAUUCCAUUAUUAGCAUCCAUACCUGUUGAGUGUUAGAAAAUGCAUAUUUAUAAAGGAGAAAACCGUCAUUUUACAUUUCAAGUCUUAUUAACAACCCUUACUUUUAUGUAUUUAACCUUCUUGUGAUUUAAUUACAUGUCUUUUAUUUUAAUUAAGUAUUUUAUGUAUUUUAGGGGCAUUAUAGUCAUUUCACAAUAAAGGAGAGAUCAGAUGGCAAAACGGACAUCACUUUUGAACUCAGGACGGUCGAAAACCUUAGGAGGAGCAUAAAAGGAAAAAUGACACUAUUCACAUGUACGGUACUAUUCACGUAUACGGUACUGUCUACGUUACUGUUCACGAAACUGUUCACAUAGACGGAUCGAUGACGUGGCAUUGACCGAUGAUGUGGCAUUGACUGAUGAGGUGUCACGAUCCUGUUGGACUAAACUUCUUAUGUACUGUUGAUGGUGACGUGGCAGCAUAUCAGUGGAUGAAAAAUCUCGCGUACGGUGCAUGCAUCACACAGGAUUAUUUUCAACCAAACCGCGUUACUGUUCAUCCGGGUCAAACCGUGUUACUGUUCAUCCGCGUGGUCAAACCGUGGACUGUUGACUGAUGACGUGGCGCAAUCCUGAGCGUCCAAACUAUUUUUAAUCCGAUGGCCAUGAUUUACUCCAUGUAUCUAUAAAAAGGGGGCCUCCCCCCCCUAAUUUGAUAUCUCUGAAUCCAUUUUUGGGAUCCAUUUUCUGUAAUUCCCUCUCCAUCUUGUAUUUUCUUUGUAUUUUAAUAAAUUCCCAUUUUGCCCCUAGUUCAAUUAUGAGUGGCUAAUUUUCUUUCAAGCUUGGGUUGAAGGUGAAGUCUCAACAUGUGUCAUGGGCUUUAUUUGGUAAAUUUAUUUUCUUUUCCCCUCUAGUUUUUGUGGAUGAUUUGACUUAUCGUCGACAAAUAAUACUGAUCUUGUCUAGAUACCGCCUUGGUUACACCGGCUCUCUAGUAUAAGGUUAUUAUUAUUUGGCACGAUAAGCCCUUAGCACCAUAUUGAUUAGAGCGUGGUUCAUGAGGUGUGGAUCCCCCCCUCAUGAUUUAAUUGGCAUUAAUACGGAUUAUUUAGCCCAUGAUGCAUGUUGAUACGGAUCCAGAUACCCAAGUACGUCAUUUCAAUAGAUUUCGCUUCAACUUAUUCUCGCCAUUGCAAUUCCAAUUUUAGAAUUUAUUAUCGCAAUUUCAAUUCCAAUUUUAGGAUAAUUUAAAUCACUUCCACCACAAUUCCAACCACCCAUUUUGCAAAAUUAAUUCUAUACACAAUUAAAAUCCUCCUCCUCGUGGGAUCGACACUCGUCACCAUUGAUCUACACUACAAUAGAUUCAUGCGCUUGCGAGUACAUUAAAAUUUGCACAACAAGUUUUUGGCGCCGUUGCCCGGGGAGGUAAGUAAUUUUAAUUCAUAGAAUUAAUUUUUGUGAAUAAUUUCUUUUAAAUUGUUUUCUUGUAUUUUUUUUAUUAAAAAAAAAAAGGUGAAUCUGCAUUUAAAGGUUAGUAUUUCUUUUCUUUUUCUCUUCUUUAAAAUUCUGUAAUUUAAUUUUCAAUUUAUUUUUUUCUUUGUAAUUUUUAUUUAUUUUAUUAAUUUAAUUUUUAGUUAAUUUAUUUCACGUAUUUGUUUUUGUGUAUUUUUAUAAAAAGGUUGUAAUAGCGCAAUAAGGUUAGUAUCGUAAUUUCUCCCUCUUCUUUAUUUUUAUUUGUUUUGUUCCCAUCUUUAUUUUUAUUUUAUUUGUUUUGCAUGCAUGGUCGUAGGUCAUUAUUACCUAAUCUUGAACCUAUAGACCUUGAAUUAGAAAAAACACUUCGCACACAAAAGCACAUUAAAAAUAAAUUUGGAAUGGAUUUACAAGCACCACAGGAGAGGCCAUUUAAGGACUAUUUUAGUCCCUUAGCUAAUUUGAGCACAUCAUGCAUAAGAUACCCAAAUGUAGCUGCUAGGAGUUUUGAAUUAAAACCUAGUGUGCUAAAUUGUCUCCCCACAUUCUAUGGCUUAGAAAAUGAGGACCCAUAUAAUCAUCUGAAUGAUUUUCAUACCAUUUGUCAAACUUUUAAAUAUGAAAAUUUUUCAGACGAUGAUGUUAAACUCAGAUUAUUCCCAUUUUCUUUAAAGGAUAGAGCUCGUUCAUGGCUUAAUACAUUGCCUGCUAAUAGCAUUGCAUCAUGGGAACAAAUGGUUACAAAAUUUCUAAAUAAAUAUUUCUCAGUGCAUAAAACUAAUUCUAUUCGCAGGGAAAUUUCAGAGUUUACACAAAGAGAGGACGAGCAGUUUUUCGAAACUUGGGAGCGAUUCAAUGGGCUACUCUUGAAGUGUCCACAUCAUGGGUACGAAAAAUGGCAUCAAUGCCAAUACUUUUUGGAGGGAUUAUUGCCGAAUGUGCAAGAAUGGCUAAUGGCAACAAGUAGAGGAGAGCUAAUGUCAAAAAGCGCAACAGAGAUUUGGGAAUUCUUCCAGCGACAAGCGGAUAAUUCCCAACAACGGAGUCGAUCAUUCAGGAAUACUAGAAAAAUUAAAGGAGUAAAUGAGGUUCACAUUGGCGAGUCAACUUCGGAAAUCAAAGAAGUCAAGGAGAUGGUUGAAGGUCUUGCUCGACAAAUAGCAUCGUUAUCGACUGCUAAAUCAACAGAAUCACAUGACCAUGACUCAUAUUCAGAUCAAGCCAAUGCCAUAGGUGUAAUGAGAAAACCAUCGAAUUACAACCCAUACUCCAACACAUAUAAUCCUGGAUGGAGAGAUCACCCCAAUUUUUCAUGGUCUCAAGGAUUCCAACAGAAUGGACCAACAGCUCCAGCUCCACUACUGCAACCAAUUCCUCAAAAUCCUCAAGCCUCUCAGCCACCAUUCAGACCAUACAAUCAGAACCAGAACUACUCUCAACCCAGACCAUGGGAGGAUGCAUUCCAGAAUUUCAAGAAUGUUACUCAUUCUACCAUUGAGCAACAGAACCGCACCAUUGAUGGACUACGAAAUGAAUUGAGAGCGGGCUUUAACUCACAAGCCCAAUCAGUUUCAAGCCUCGAGAAGAUGGUGGGACAACUCGCUUCUUCAGUUCAGACAUUGGCAAUGACUAUUGAGAAAGGCAAGUUUCCAAGUCAACCAGUGCCUAAUCCUAAAGGAGUACAUGAAGCAAGUACCAGUUCACCACAGCAGCAUGGGGAGGUCAAAGCAGUCAUGACCUUGCGAAAAGGAAAAGAAGUCGACAACAAAGUGGAGAUGCCGGUGACCAAAGAAAAUCAAAUUGUACCUGUGAAUGUUGAAGACUCACCACCGGAGGAAAAAGAAGAAACCAACCCACGAGAAUAUGUUCCUAAAGCUCCAUUUCCUCAGAGGUUAGCGAAAGGAAAGAAGGGAAAAUCCACAGGUGAGAUUCUCGAAAUCUUCAAACAGGUAAGUGUUAACAUCCCUUUACUUGAUGCUAUUAAACAAGUUCCAUCUUAUGCCAAGUUUCUUAAAGACCUUUGUACUAAAAAGAGAAACAUGCAUGUUCAAAAGAAGGCAUUUUUAACAGAAAACGUUAGUUCUAUACUCCAACAUAAAAUUCCUUUAAAAUGCAAAGACCCAGGCUCCCCCACUAUCUCAUGUAGUAUAGGGAACCACACAAUUGAGAAUGCUUUGUUGGAUUUAGGAGCUAGUGUAAAUUUGUUGCCUUAUUCAGUAUUUGUGAAACUUGGACUGGGAGAAUUACACCCAACUCCAGUGGUGUUACAGCUUGCAGAUCGGUCCACGAAAAUACCUCGUGGUAUUGUGGAGGACGUGCUUAUCCAGGUAGACAAGUUUUAUUUUCCUGUUGAUUUCAUUGUAAUUGACACUCAACCAAUACAGGACUCAAGGAAGCACAUCCCCAUUAUUCUAGGCCUACCUUUCUUGGCAACUGCGGAUGCUCACAUUCAAUGCAGGACUGGAAAUAUGCAGUUGUCCUUUGGCAACAUGACUAUGGAGCUAAACAUUUUCAACAUUGCCAAACAACCUCAUAGUCCAGAUGAUGGAAUUGUUGAUGUGGAUUUAAUAGAAACAAUAGUCGAUAAUACUUUUAUUUCAAACCUUAGUGAUGACCCUUUACAGACAUGCUUAACUCACUUUGGUUUGAAUUUUGAUAUUGACAGAUCGGUCGAUGAGGUCAACACUCUACUUGACUCAGCACCAUCCAUGGACACUAAUAAAUGGAAGUCAAGAGUUGAACAACUAGCACCAUCAGAGAAGAAAAUCAUCCCAUCAUCAGAAUCACCACCGAAACUCGAGCUCAAACCAUUACCCAACACAUUGGAAUAUGCGUUUUUGGGAGAAGAAAGCACUCUACCGGUAAUCAUCUCAUCAUCCCUAAACGACGAACAAAAAGGUAAGUUAUUGGAUGUUUUAAAAGAGCACAAAGGAGCAUUAGGAUGGACCAUAGCAGAUAUUAAAGGUAUAAACCCAGUAGACUGCAUGCAUUACAUUCACCUUGAUGAAAAUGCUAAAACUACUAGGGAAAUGCAACGUCGGUUAAAUCCUAAUAUGAAAGAAGUUGUUAGAACAGAAGUCCUUAAGCUAUUAGAUGCAGGUAUCAUUUACCCAAUUUCUGAUAGUUCAUGGGUCAGUCCUGUACAAGUUGUCCCCAAAAAGUCAGGAGUCACAGUAGUUACCAAUGCUGAUAAUGAAUUGAUACCAACUAGAGUAACUACAGGAUGGCGUGUAUGCAUUGAUUAUAGAAAAUUGAAUUAUGUCACACGUAAAGACCAUUUUCCUUUACCAUUUAUUGAUCAAAUGCUUGAUAGAUUAGCAGGCCAUGAAUUUUAUUGCUUUCUGGAUGGUUAUUCAGGAUAUAAUCAGAUUCCCAUAGCACCAAAAGAUCAGGAGAAAACUACUUUCACUUGCCCUUUUGGCACUUUUGCAUAUAGGAGAAUGCCAUUUGGAUUAUGUAAUGCACCUGCUACAUUCCAACGAUGCAUGUUGAGCAUUUUUUCUGAUAUGGUUGAACGAUUCCUUGAAGUCUUUAUGGAUGAUUUUUCUGUCUUUGGUGACUCGUUUGAUCAAUGUUUACAUCAUCUAACGCUAGUUCUGCAGAGAUGUAUCGAGAAGAACUUAGUCUUAAAAUGGGAGAAGUGUCAUUUUAUGGUAAAACAAGGUAUUGUUCUCAGUCACAUCAUUUCAAGCAAAGGUAUUGAGGUUGACAAAGCCAAGGUGGAUCUCAUUUCUAAUCUUCCUCCACCUAAAACAGUCAGAGAAGUAAGAUCUUUCCUUGGGCAUGCUGGUUUCUAUAGACGUUUCAUUAAAGAUUUUAGCAAAGUUUCUAGACCCUUAUGCAAUUUACUUGCUAAGGAUGUACCUUUUAUCUUUAAUGAUUCAUGUCUUAUGGCUUUUGAAAAAUUAAAGCGAUUGUUGACAUCAUCACCCAUCAUUCAGGCCCCAAACUGGAGUUUACCAUUUAAGCUCAUGUGUGAUGCAUCUGAUUAUGCAGUAGGAGCAGUAUUAGGACAAAGAGUUGAUCGAAUUCCCCAUGUUAUUUACUAUGCUAGUAUGACAUUGAAUAAUGCACAGUUGAACUAUUCAACUACUGAAAAAGAAAUGCUAGCAGUAGUGUUUGCAUUAGAGAAAUUUCGAUCUUAUCUCAUUGGUUGUAAAAUAAUUAUAUUCACAGAUCAUGCUGCUCUUAAAUAUCUUCUCAUAAAGAAAGAUGCAAAAGCUAGACUAAUUCGUUGGGUGUUACUUUUGCAGGAAUUCGACUUGGAAUUCAAGGAUAAGAAAGGCACAGAGAAUGUUGUAGCGGACCACCUCUCUCGUCUCCAUUUUGACACAAUUACAGAAUCAUUACCAUUGAAUUAGUCAUUUCCAGAUGAACAAUUAAUGAAUGUGGAAGUAUUACCUUGGUAUGCUGAUAUAGUUAAUUAUCUUGUUACAGGUAAACUUCCAGAGCAUUGGACCAAGCAAGACAAGGCUAAAUUCUUUGCGGAAAUAAAGAAUUUCUUUUGGGAUGACCCGUAUUUGUUCAAGUAUUGUGCAGACCAAAUUGUUAGACGAUGUGUCCCUGAAAAUGAAAUUCAGAAUAUUCUUUCAUUCUGCCAUGCACAAGCUUGUGGAGGCCAUUUCAGUGCUAAGAAAACAGCGACUAAAGUUUUACAAUGUGGUUUCUAUUGGCCAACUAUAUUUCGAGAUGCUUACACUUUCUGUUCUUCAUGUGAUAGGUGUCAACGAAUGGGGAGCAUUACACGAAGGAACAUGAUGCCACUAAAUCCAAUUUUAGUGGUUGAGAUUUUUGACGUAUGGGGUAUCGACUUCAUGGGACCCUUUCCUCCGUCUUUUGGUCAUCAAUACAUAUUGGUUGCUGUUGACUACGUAUCGAAAUGGGUGGAAGCAAUUCCAUGCAGAACCAAUGAUCACAAAGUGGUGAUAGGAUUUUUGAAAAGCAACAUUGUUUCACGCUUUGGAUUCCCUCGAGCGAUAAUCAGUGAUGGUGGUGCCCACUUUUGUAACAAAGCAUUCAAAGCUCUUUUGACAAAGUAUUCAAUCACCCACAAAGUGGCGACUCCGUAUCAUCCGCAAACCAGUGGCCAAGUUGAGAUCUCCAAUCGAGAAAUAAAGCACAUAUUAGAAAAGACGGUGAGGCCAGACAGGAAAGAUUGGUCAUUACGACUUGAUGAUGCAUUAUGGGCAUAUAGAACGGCUUUCAAGACCCCGAUUGGGAUGUCACCCUACAGGCUAGUGUAUGGAAAAGCUUGCCACCUACCUGUGGAACUCGAGCAUCGUGCAUAUUGGGCCAUCAAGAAAUUCAACUUUGACAUGCAGCAAGUCAGCUCAGAAAGAAGAUUACAGCUGGCAGAACUUGAAGAAAUUCGCAAUGAUGCAUACGAAAAUGCCAAGAUUUACAAGCAACGAAUGAAAGUCUUCCAUGAUAAGCAAAUUAUGAGAAAAUCGUUCACUCCAGGUCAGAAAGUGUUUUUAUUCAAUUCUCGCUUGCACCUAUUCCCAGGUAAGUUACGCUCUCGAUGGUCUGGUCCCUUUAUUGUUCAUACUGUUUUUCCACAUGGGGCAAUUGAAAUUAAAGACCCAAAGAACGGUGUCACGUUUAAAGUUAAUGGUCAAAGAUUAAAGCCAUAUCUAGAGUACCAACCACAUGAAGAAGACACCGAAAUAAAUUUGAGUGACCCACCAGAUUUGAAUUAAUUUUUUUUCUCUUUUUAUUGAUUUGAUUUUUCUUUCUUUCUUUUUAUUAUUCUUUUGCUAAUUGAAAUUGUUUUUGCAUAAGUGUGUUUAUUUUACCAUUAAGUUUUCUCUUAUCAUUUUUAAUCAUGAGUCUCCUACUUAGACCGUUCCUCCUGAACAUUCUUAAACCACUUCAACGUGUCAAAACUCAUCUCAAAAGGCAGAUUCUAUUUUGUAAAACACAACGCAUUUGGGCUCUACAACCACCAGAGUUAGUAGCCUAUGUUGAGGGUUUAGAACGCCAACUCAGAGAUAUUGAGAGAAGUGUUUACGACAUCCAGUUGGAGCUUGAGGUAAAUUCAAUAAGAGGACGAUUUUAAUUUUCUUUGUGUGUUUUGAUUUGUUUUUCUGUUUGUGUGCUUUAGUUUGUUACCCCGGUGAAGUGGCGGAUAACGGUACUCCGUGACAAUCAAGUCGGUUAACUUCAGUUUCCCAUAAUAACUGAUAUUCUGAGGCGAAGGUAUGGAUACAAACGAGAUUUUAGCAAAGCUUCACAAGCGAUUCCCUUCACUUCCUCAGAAUGCCCUCCUUACGAUCUAUAAAGCCCGGUCUGAACGCAUGCGAUUGCUCAUGAGGAAUAACAUACCUGCAGACAUCCGUUGGUUAAUCGAGGCUAAAGUACGAUCGGCAGGUGAGUUACCUCCAAAAUUUAUUGCAUUCAUGCCUGGUUGUGGUAAAGGAAAUUAUGCAAGAAAACGACGAGCUCGAAGAAUUUCUGUUGCUUGUCAUAAGUGUGCCAGAAUGAGUUGCGAUAAAAACCCAUGUUCUUUAGGAAUGGUGUCUGAUAACAGGGAAGAUAAGAUUCAAUUCAUUAGGGAUGGCUUGAAUAAGGAGUCAUUGGAUGAUAUCCUUUUGUCUCUUGAAACGCAUCCUAGUGGAUAUGUGCAAGGAGCGAUUCUCCAGUUAUGGCCAUUAUUCCAGAAAGAGCAUGCACGAUAUAGUCUCGGGAAUCUGACUAUAAACGACCCUGUUUGCCAGUUUAUAAGAAAACUGGAUAGGAAGCCUAUCCUCGACCCAUAGAGGGCGUUCAAGCCGUUUCUGGACGUAAAACCAGAGGAAGAUGUGAGCCACAGUCGCAACUACCUGUAAAUAUCCUUUUACUUUACUGUUGUUUUAUUUUACUGUUGUUUUAUCGUUUGUAUUAUUAUCUUUAAUAAUUUUAUUACUGUUUGCUUUUUCCUUUUUACUGUUUCCUUUUUGACUCGCGAGCCACGUGCUUUACGCGUUAUUUGACACUGACAUGUUACCUCAUUCACAGCUGUGAUCCACUGUCACCAAGAUUCUUAAAUGUGAUUUAUCUUUUGUCAAGCACUCACAAAUUAUUUUUGAGAAGUAUCACAAUGGCAGCUACUCCCAAUAGACAAUUCAAGAACAUUUGUGUGCUUUCUGGAUUUACCUAUGGCAAACAUAAAGAGUUCGUGGAGGCAGCCAUAGAUCUUGGUCGAAGCAUAGCAGCGAGAAAAUUACAUUUGGUGUAUGGAGGAGGUAACCGAGGGUUAUCAAAAAUGGUCUCAGAAGCAGCUUUUAUCAGAGGAAGUCAAGUGUUAGGCAUCAUCCCAAGAGUCCUAAAACCAUUGGGCAGUUCAUCUAACUCAUCAACUGGAGAAGAGUUAGUCGUCUCAGGUAUGCAAGAAAGAAUAACUGAAAUGCUUAAUCAUGUUGAUGCUUUUAUUUUCCUUCUAGGAGAUCUUGCAACACUAGAGGCACUUAUGACACUAGCAUCUUGGGCCCAUCUGCACAUCCACCAGAAACCCAUCGGUUUGUUAAAUGUCAAUAACUUUUAUGAUGGCUUUAUCGCAUUUCUUAACCAUGCAAUAAAAAACUAUUUCAUUCCUUCUAAUGUGAAAAAACUCUUUAUUUGUGCUCACACUGCUAAUGAGCUACUUGAUAUGUUACAAGCUUAUAAACCGGAGCCAGACCCCUGGACCUUUGUGUUGGAGCGACCAAAUAAUGAUGGUAACAGUAGCCGCAGUAAGAAGUACAAAUUAGAUUUAACUCUCCGCCUGUAAAUAUUUUCUUCUGUGUUGCACCACCCAGGUGAUGUCUUCUAAACUCUACUUCUUUCCUUUAAAACAUUGAGGACAAUGUUUCGUUCUGGUUGGGGGGAGGGAAUAGUCGACAAUUGUGGAAUCUUGGUUAAGUUUUUACUAAUUUUUUGUUGUAGAAACUAACUGUUGCUAACGUUUUGUGUUGAAGAUGGCUGAAUAUGGAGUGUAGUUACUCUAGAAACGCAUCUUCAUCGUUUUAAAAAAAAAAAAAAAAACUCGUUUGCUUCCUCUUUCUCCUUUAUAAAUAUGUAGUUUCAAAUUUUUGAGUCGAAGAUGGCUGAAUAUGGAGUGUAGUGCCUCUAGAAACGCAUCUUCUUAGUUAAAAAAAAAAAAAUCUUUUUCUAAUUAAUUUUUCUACAUCAUUUUCACAUUUCUGCAUGCAUAUUUUCCUUUCAUGUUUAGAAUAGGUUGGGGGGUAGAAUGUUGUUUAAAAAAAAAAAAAAUUUGUGUUAUUUGUUUUAACAUUGGAUGACAUGAUUAAUUUCAAAUUUUAGUAUUUGUAUUAUCUUUGGUCUUAAGUGAUGUUACGCUAUGUUUGCUACUUUACAUGUUGAUGUCGGAGACAAAUAUGAGUUGCUUGAAGGAAUGAACAUGUCAUAAAUAAGUGCCAAGUGAGUUGUUGAGCCUAUCAUUUUCUUGGAGAGUAACCCUUUUGCCCAUUCUCUAUACAGCUUAGCAGUUUAUUAUUUUAUACACGAUCUCUAGAUUUCUUUUGAGUUAACCCUUUAAAAAAAAUGGUAAAAAUAAAAAAAAUAAAAAAUGUGUGUUGCUAUAUUGGGAUGCCCAUUUAACUAGUAGAUAUGGAUAAUUAUUUAGAGCCCUAAAAAACGAUGGAAAGGCCAUCUUUGAUCCGUUUGAGCCUUUCUAGCCAUCCCUGUUAUUAAAUAUCCAUAGUUACCCCUUUUGAGCCUUUAAAAAAAAAAAAAAAUCUUUUCUUUGUCAACUUAUCAUCUUGACCCACUCCGAUUUGGAGUAUUACUCAAUGUCUUUUAAGUUCCAUCACCUAUUUAUGUUUGAGAAAAUGUAAAUAAUUAUGUUGUUCAGUGAAGUUAUGCCAAAAAAAUAAAAAAUAAAAACAAAAAAUAAAAACAAAAACAAAAGUUGUUGUUUCAAAAGAAUAAAAAUAACAAUAAUAGGUGAAAUCCACCUUGCAAGUUCCAAAAAAAAAAAAAAAAAUCUGCAUUUUUCUCAAACAUACACUUUGUUUUCCUUAUUUCCCUUCUUUGUUAGCCAUAUCCCUAGCCUACGUUACGUCCUAAUAAAAGUCCUUCUUGAUUUUAGGAAACUAUAGUUUGAAGUAGAAGCUAGUUAUAUGGGCUAAAAAGAUGUAGUGAUGCAUAAUAAAAAAAAAAGAUAAAUAAAGUGGGUUGACUAACAUUUUAUUUGACUUGAGAUCGUAUUAUUUCUAAGCUGAGGGCAUAUUUAUUUCAUCUUGGUGAGAGCAUGUGAUAUCAUUUCUUUAUUAUUUUCUCUCUCAAUUACCAUUCAUUGGAGUGACUAUGUUUAUUGGGUUUUAAUUUCUUUGUGAGAGUGUCACUACUUCCAGUGAGAUUUUGGGGUUUGACAUGUCAUUCUUGAAAGUAGCUAUAACAAAGUCUACUGGGCUAAUUCAUGUGGAUGGUUGAUGUGGGUGUGAUGUUGCUUUAGACUGAAGAUAAUGCUUAUACUUUUAUUUGAUUGCUAUCAUUAAUCUGAUUGAAUAAACACGAGUGUUCCCAUAAAAAAAAAAAAAAAAUCAUUUUGAAUUUGAAUUUUGUUUUCGCUUUAUUUGCUAGGGACUAGCAAUAAGCUGGUUGGGGGGUGUGUUGAGUGUUAGAAAAUGCAUAUUUAUAAAGGAGAAAACCGUCAUUUUACAUUUCAAGUCUUAUUAACAACCCUUACUUUUAUGUAUUUAACCUUCUUGUGAUUUAAUUACAUGUCUUUUAUUUUAAUUAAGUAUUUUAUGUAUUUUAGGGGCAUUAUAGUCAUUUCACAAUAAAGGAGAGAUCAGAUGGCAAAACGGACAUCACUUUUGAACUCAGGACGGUCGAAAACCUUAGGAGGAGCAUAAAAGGAAAAAUGGCACUAUUCACAUGUACGGUACUAUUCACGUAUACGGUACUGUCUACGUUACUGUUCACGAAACUGUUCACAUAGACGGAUCGAUGACGUGGCAUUGACCGAUGAUGUGGCAUUAACUGAUGAGGUGUCACGAUCCUGUUGGACUAAACUUCUUAUGUACUGUUGAUGGUGACGUGGCAGCAUAUCAGUGGAUGAAAAAUCUCGCGUACGGUGCAUGCAUCACACAGGAUUAUUUUCAACCAAACCGCGUUACUGUUCAUCCGGGUCAAACCGUGUUACUGUUCAUCCGCGUGGUCAAACCGUGGACUGUUGACUGAUGACGUGGCGCAAUCCUGAGCGUCCAAACUAUUUUUAAUCCGAUGGCCAUGAUUUACUCCAUGUAUCUAUAAAAAGGGGGCCUCCCCCCCCCUAAUUUGAUAUCUCUGAAUCCAUUUUUGGGAUCCAUUUUCUGUAAUUCCCUCUCCAUCUUGUAUUUUCUUUGUAUUUUAAUAAAUUCCCAUUUUGCCCCUAGUUCAAUUAUGAGUGGCUAAUUUUCUUUCAAGCUUGGGUUGAAGGUGAAGUCUCAACAUGUGUCAUGGGCUUUAUUUGGUAAAUUUAUUUUCUUUUCCCCUCUAGUUUUUGUGGAUGAUUUGACUUAUCGUCGACAAAUAAUACUGAUCUUGUCUAGAUACCGCCUUGGUUACACCGGCUCUCUAGUAUAAGGUUAUUAUUAUUUGGCACGAUAAGCCCUUAGCACCAUAUUGAUUAGAGCGUGGUUCAUGAGGUGUGGAUCCCCCCCUCAUGAUUUAAUUGGCAUUAAUACGGAUUAUUUAGCCCAUGAUGCAUGUUGAUACGGAUCCAGAUACCCAAGUACGUCAUUUCAAUAGAUUUCGCUUCAACUUAUUCUCGCCAUUGCAAUUCCAAUUUUAGAAUUUAUUAUCGCAAUUUCAAUUCCAAUUUUAGGAUAAUUUAAAUCACUUCCACCACAAUUCCAACCACCCAUUUUGCAAAAUUAAUUCUAUACACAAUUAAAAUCCUCCUCCUCGUGGGAUCGACACUCGUCACCAUUGAUCUACACUACAAUAGAUUCGUGCGCUUGCGAGUACAUUAAAAUUUGCACAACAAUACCCACAGCGGCUAAUAGAACUCCACCAUAUUUUGAUUUCAAGUGACACCCAUCCAACCCGAUAUAUGGCCUACAGCCAUUGUUAAGGGCAUUUUUUUAAGCUGGAAAUGCCAUAAAGAAUCUUUGAAAGAGCACUUUCUCAGGCCUAGUUACAGCAUCACAAAGCACUUUACAAAUUGCACCAGGAUCAUACUUGUGAAUCACUGCAGCAUAUUGAAACAAAUCUUCGUAUCCCCUCGCAUGAUCUCCAUUAAUGUCUUUUCUUGCCCUCUCUCUAGCCCUAUAUAGUUUUAAAUCCCCUAUCCGCACACCAUAAGUCUCCAGCAUAAACUCACGAAGAACAGAAAUCUUCACAUGCGCAUCUACAGCAACUUUGCUCUUAAUUUUCUCUGCUAUCCAUUUAUUGUUCACAGCCACUGACUUUCCAGUCUGUCUACAUUCAUGCUUCUUUUGCAACUCUUCGAUUGCAAAUCCACCCUUGCCCCUUAUUUUACCUCCCAUCACAUACCAUGGACACUCAUUAAUCUUGCAUUUUCUGUAAAAUCUCCUAGGCUCAUUGUACACCUUUGUAAUUUCAAUGCCUUUAUCCACCAUCACUUCACCUAACACAUAUCUAAACUGUUCAACAUCAUCAAAUACAUCUCCUAACCUCAGCCUAUGUUUACCAUUACGCCUUGGCUUAUAUGCAUGCACUUCAAUAUCAUCCUUCAGCUGAGUGGUACCCAAAUCAUAAUAUGAAUCUGAUGUGUCUGCUAACAGCUGAGGAUCUACUUCAGCUGUUUCAUCGUCAGAACUAGAACCCCUAGCAUCAUCCAUAAUAUCUGCACCAUUAUCUUCAUUUUGGUCAUCGUCAUCAGCAUCAUCAUCAUCAGUGUCAUCUAUACGACUCCCAUCAGUUGAAUAUACUACAUCAUCAUCAUCAUUCUCAUGCCCAUCAUUCUCAUUCAGUUCUGUUGGUGGCCCUUGUAUGCCUCCAGUCCUAGGUGGUGGUUCAUUUCCACCAUCAUUCACCCAUGUAAUUUGCUCUGCAGAUAACUGCACUCCACAGUUAUGUAGCAUCGCUUGUAACACCCCACAAAGUGGUAAAUCAGGACGUAGGGUUGGCAAAAUUGUGGCUUCAAACACUGCCACUUCCAUUUAAUCAUGUACAGCGAACUGAGCCUGCAACACUGCCUCAGAAUCUACAGUAAUCGAAAGCUUGUCCCUUGGGUUGGUAACCGAUAACUGCACACUUUCAGGAGUUUCUUCAUCUGCUGCAGGGUAUAUUCUUCAGGUUCAAUCAACCCUAUAGGAUGUCUUUCACCUUUGUAAAGUAAAUGUAGUUGUAAUGGUAACAUCAUCUACCAGAUUAAAAACGAGGAAACAUUUUGAAUAACUAAAAUUACAGCAUAACUCAAAGCAAUUUAAUUAGGUAAAAAGUAAUGAAAAAUAACUAAAAUUAUGGCCAAUAACCAAAAUUUCAGCAAAACGGCAAAUGCAUGUAAGCUUAAUGGUUACAAAUAAAAAAUUAAUUAACAGUAAGCAAAAAUUAAUUAACAAUAGGCAACUAAUAAUCCUAAUCUAUUAAAUUCAAGUGCCAAUCACAACUCAAAGCAAUUUAAUUAGGUAAAAAGUAACGAACAAUAAUCAAAAUUAUGCCCAAUAACCAAAAUUACAGCAAAACGGCAAAUGCAUGUAAGCUUGAUGAUUACAAAUAAAAUGGCAAAAAUUCAUUAACAAUAACCAAGCAGUAAUCCUACUUACAAUGGACAAAGUAGAAGACAGUAGAGAUGGAAGAACACUGCUGCGAGAGUGAGAGAGAUAUGCGUCAGUUACAAUGAGCGAGAGAGAGCAGAGAUGGAAGAAGAAUCGAGAGAGAGGGGGAUUGAUUUCGAUUUCUAGGGCUCCAUGUCCAAAUUGCCCGCUUUCUUUACAAUUGCAAAACGCAACGUUUUCGCCUCACGUGAUAUGUCCAAAAUACCCUUAUGACGUCAGCAUAAUUUUUAUUCAGUUAACGGAAUUGUGGGAAAAUGCUAACAGUUUAAACAUUUAGUGGUAAAAUGAUAGUUUUACCAAACCAUGGUACUGACAUGAUGUGUCAGAAUACCUUUAGUGGGAAAAUGAUAAUAUCCCUAUGUAAAAUAUAUAAAUCUAAAAAAUAGUCUUGAAUUUUUUUUUUUUUUGGGCUCCUGUUUUAUUAUUCUUUUUCUAAAGUAAUUUUCUCUCUUCUUAUUAAAGGCUUGAGAUAAAUUAUAUAUCCCUUUUUCUUUUAUUGAAUCAUAAUUCUUCGUUUCUUCUAUUGAAUCAUAGUUCUUGUGAUUUUGAUUUUUAGUAUGUAUUGCCUACAAUUUAUCAUUGAGGUAUCAGUUACAUAAAUAUAAUUUUCCAUUAAUCUUAUUUCGAAGAUGUUAAUGAAAUAUAUUUGGUGAAAACGAUAUUAGAGUGAGGAUACGUGCACCCAUGACAAAAAUUUGCAAAGAACUCUUCAAUCUUUCAAAUUUUCCAAUUGAUAAAGAAUUGAUUUAAAAAGAAGAAGAAGAUGAUGAUGGUGAUUUAAGAUUUUAUAAUACAUGGGUGUGUCAAGGAUAUUUGUUUCAAGUUAAAAUUAUUCAAUCCUUAAUACUAAUUUCAUAAAAGGACGUUUUUAUAAUCUAAAAUUUUAUUAAAUAAAGAGGAUUAAAAAUAACUUUUAGAAUAUAUAAAUAAAUAGCCUCUCUCGAUUAUAAAGUACAAGGUCACUCGAUGAUGUCAUGAAUUUAUGUAAUCAAAUAUGAAUUAUGUAAAUGAAACAUAAGACUUAUAAAUUUAAUAUAAAACAUGUAAAUCAAUAUUAACUGUGAACUAACAUAUAAAUUAUGUAAAUAAAAUAUUAGACUUGUAAGUAGAAGGUAAAACAAACAAAUUAAUAUAGGAGUGAUAAAUUGGUAUAUUAUUGGUAAAUAAAAGAAAAACUUACAAAUGUAAUAUAUAAUUUAUAAAUCAAUAUUAAGUGUGAAAUAAAAUAUAAAUUGCGUAAAUGAAACAUAAGACAUGUAAAUAAAAGAUAAAAUAAGUAAAUUAAUAUAAGAUAUAAUAUAAAACUAUUAGUAGUAAACAAAAUAAAAAUUUAAAGAUAUAAUAUAAAACUAUAAAUCAAUAUUAAGUACAAAAUAAAACAUAAGUUUAGGUGUAAUUUACAAAAUUAAUAUAAGAUUUAUUAAAAAAAACUUACAAAUGUAAAAUAAAAAUUCAUUAUAAUAUUGAUUACCUUAUAUAUUUAUUGAUUCUAUUUUAAAUUGAAUAAUGAUAGUUUUUAUCUUAUGUAAUAAAUGUGAUGUUUUAUAUAAAUUUAUUCUCAAAAUUAGAUUUUGAAAUCUAUUCUUUUAAUGUUUUUCGAAUUUAUUGUAAGAUGACAUGAUUUUUCAUCCUUCUAAAUCUCCUCAUCAGCAAUGCAAAUAGUUUCUAAAUACAAGUAAGGGGUGACGGUUAAAAUUACAAGAAGUUUAUGUAAAACUCAAAACUAGAUUUAAUUUUAUUAAUAUGUCAUCUAUGUGUUUAGUAAUAUAAGAAUAUAUUUUUAUUUUAUUUUUUGUUUAAUCCACAUUAAGAUAAAUUAUUUCGCAUAGUUAACUUGUGUAGUAAAACAAAAAAAAAAAAUGACAGAAAAUGAAAAAAAAUAAGUUUAUAAAUAUCUUAAGACAAAUAUAGAAUUUAUUCUUAAACCAAUUUAGUAAAACUUAUUCUACUUGUUUUCAGUAUAAUUUUUUUGGUCUUAGAUUGAUGACUAUUUUUUUUUCAUUGUUUAGCUAAAGUAAAUGAAUAAAUUAUUUUUUCACUAAAAUUAUGUAGAAAUCAUGUUAAUUAUUUUAAUAAUUAACUGGUUUAUAUUAAUUUACAUGUUUUAUCUUCCAAUCACUUAUCUUAUGUAUAAUUUUAUAAAAUAUAUUUUUUACCACACCAUUAAUGCUGUAAUUCUAAUCAUGGCAUUAUAAAAUUUUCCAAUGUGGGGAAACUUCUUUACUCUAAAUAAAACUAGAGUUGUGUUGAGCACAAUUUAAAUAUCUAAACAGAGUUCCGUUGGCAUUAAACUUCAUUAUAAAAGAGUCUACAUUGGCAUCAUGCUAAUCUUAUUGACAAUAUAUAGUUGCCGGUAUUAAUUAUUUUUGCACCAUAGCUUCCGUAGAAUCAAUUGGGUACCCAGUUCCGGAUGAAGGGUUGGAACCGCCGUUGGAGCAUGUACAUAAGAUGGAGACAACUCGAAUGAGUAGUUUUGAAGAAUCAUUGCCGUGGCCAUUUUUGCUUCUACUAGAGCAAAAUUUUGUCCAACACAUAUCCUAGGACCCAAUGCGAAUGGGAAAUAUGAAACUUGAUUUUUCGCCGCCUUUGAAAUUCCUUCCGCAAACCUUUCCGGCUUAAACUCAACUGCAUCGUCACCCCAAAGUUCAGGAUCCUGGUGAACUAGGAUCAUUGGCAAGCCAAUUUGAACCCCAGCGGGUAAUGUCAAGUUUCCGAGUUUCGUUUCCUUAAAAACAGCUCGACUAAGCACAGUUACGGGCGGAUAAAGCCUGAGUACCUCGUAAAGUAUCAUCUGGACCUGUCACAUACAUACAAACACAACUGAGAUUAAUAUGAUCAAAUUGAUCAAUAUCGAAUACUAUUUCCUUCGUACUUACAAUUUUGAGGUGAUUCAAUCCAUCAUAGUCGGGCUUAUUAUUGCCAAACACUUGCAAAACCUCUUGCCUUGCACGUUCUUGCCAAUCUUGAUGCUUGCUCAAUAAGACCAUCGUCCAAUUAAGCAAAACAGAGGUAGUCUCUUGGCCGGCAAAGUAAAAUAGCUUACACUCUUCAAUCACAUCGUUCAUGCUGAACCCAACAUUUUUGUUAUUUCCAUGUUCUUCAAUCUCUCUAAAACUGGUUUCCAUCAGUAUGCCUAACAAGUCAUCAUUCGCAGCUUCCCCUGCUCUCAUUGCCUUCUCCCUAUUUUUGAUGAUUCCCAUCAAUGAAGCCCGGAUUUCCUU